rnacentral:rRNA from 1 species
ACGCACGCUGGCGGCAGGCCUAACACCUGCAAGUCGAGCGAGGACUUCGGUUCUAGCGGCGGACGGGUGAGUAACGCGUGGGAAUGUGCCCUUCUCUACGGAAUAGCCCUGGGAAACUGGGAGUAAUACCGUAUACGCCCUAUUGGGGAAAGAUUUAUCGGAGAAGGAUCAGCCCGCGUUGGAUUAGGUAGUUGGUGGGGUAAUGGCCUACCAAGCCGACGAUCCAUAGCUGGUUUGAGAGGAUGAUCAGCCACACUGGGACUGAGACACGGCCCAGACUCCUACGGGAGGCAGCAGUGGGGAAUCUUAGACAAUGGGGGCAACCCUGAUCUAGCCAUGCCGCGUGAGUGAUGAAGGCCUUAGGGUUGUAAAGCUCUUUCAGCUGGGAAGAUAAUGACGGUACCAGCAGAAGAAGCCCCGGCUAACUCCGUG